rnacentral:snoRNA from 1 species
UCGGCCCCAAAUCAAGGCCAGCCACUUGCUGAAGCUGUUGGUUUUAAGCAGAAGCCUAAAGAAAAGUCUUUUUAUGGUCUGUUGGCCAUUUCAGAACUGUGGAAAUGUAAUGGUCAAUUCAUUAGAAAGAAACAUCU